GGGAGGCAGGAAGGUUCAUGAGAGGGAGUUGAAGAGGUCGGAGAAGCAGAGGCCCAUUCCUUAGGAGCCUUGGAGCCCCCGGGGCCCAGGAUGAAGAGGAGCUUCUCAGGGAGGAAAUGCAGCUUGGACACUAGGGACGGCGGAACAGGACUGCCACUCCGACAGCUGCCCCCUCGCCUCAGCGGGGAGGGAACGAGACACAGGACAGCAGAGCAGUGGUUCCAAGUUUAAUGGAGGGCAAGGGGGGUGCUGCACUGAUGCUCAGCGAGGCCCCAAGGCGGCUGGGCGGCCCGGGCCCCAAGUGGAGCAUGUGCUUUUUGCAAUUGAAUA